GAAGAAGCCGCCGAACACUAACGAAGAAGAAGCUUCCGGAGAACCCGCCAAACUGUGUGUGCGCGCGUAAACAUGGAAACUGUGCGGCGGCGCUCGAAAGUGUGGCUUAACUUCACUAAAAUAAAUGACAAGUCGGCUCGGUGCAACAUUUGCAAAACAAUUAUAUCGUGCAAAGGCGGGUGUACCACCAACAUGAUCAAACAUCUCCGGGGUCAUGGUGUACAGAUAACUGAGUGCCCCGUCUUUGACGCGCUGCGCCGGCCAUCCUCCGUUGCCACUUCCUCCACUGCCUCUACCUCCGCUGCCUCUACCUCCGGCUCCGACCCUCACCCUAGCACCGCACUAUCAGCCAUACGACUUGAAAUUGCAACCGUUAGCCAGGCAGUUACUCCGUUCACCCUAACGUCCAAGGGAAAGAUGUCGGUGCAACAAGUGCAAGAGUGCCACAGAAAGGUUACAGCCUUUAUUGUAAAAAGGUUGCAUCCCUUUUCAGAUGUGGAAUCACCAACAUUUAGGGACAUGGUGAAAGCCAUCAACCCCAAGUACACACCACCUACCAGGGACUACUUGGCAAAUAAAUUAAUACCAUCUUGGUAUGAGGUCGAGAAGUCAAAUGUCAUUACAGAGCUCAGUGACGUCUGCUCUGUUGCACUCACAUGUGAUGGCUGGAGUAGCAUCACACAGGACCAUUACCUCACCAUCACAGCACACUAUAUAGUGGAGGGCAAAAUGCAGCAAAAAGUGCUAAAAACAAAAGCUGUGUACAAAGCACAGACUGGCUGUGUUGUGGCAGAGGAAAUAAGUGAUGUUCUGUCAGAGUUUGGCAUUUCUGGCAAAAUUAAAGCAGUCACUGUAGAUAAUGCUGCCAAUAUGGAUGUGGCUAUUAAGCACCUGCAAUUUGUCAAACUGGGCUGUUUUGCCCACUCACUUAAUUUAGGAGCACAAAGUCUGUACUCCUUAAAUUCAGUGAGUCAGUGGGUGGCCAAGAUCCGAACCAUUGUUGUGUGGAUGAAGAGGUGCUUGAUGGGGAAGGUGGUCCUCCAGGAGAAGCAAGAACUUCUACGCUUGCUCGGCUGACUGAGGAGGAUUUUCGGAAAGCAGAAGACUUCAUCAAGCUCAUGAAACUUUUCUACACUUCCACACUCUGCGUGUCUUCAGAAAAGAGCCCCACAUGUGGACAGAUAUUACCCAUUCUCCAAAAGCUCAAGGCACAUCUGACUGUGAAAGAGGGAGACACAGUGUUUGUAAAAGACCUUAAAAAACAAGUUUGGGGAAACCUAUCUAAGCGCUACCAGAAUGAUGAGACCAGGAACUUUCUCCAAGUGGCCACUGCUUUGGAUCCGCGCUUUAAACACAAGUUGGAGGAUGACACCGUCUGGGACC